AGUUAAUCUUGACUCUUCAGCUUCCCUUCCUUAAGGCAGUGUGCAGUAAACAUUAGGGUGGUUAGCCCAUUACACUGAUAACAUCUUUUUUCUAUCCUUUCAAUUCUCUAUCACUUUGUUUUACUUCUUUCAUAUUCUACUUAGGUGAUUACUUUUUUGUUUCCAUUCCAGGGCUAGAGCUUUGAAUACCAAGUAUAAUUCUUGCCCUAUAGAAGCUUCACACCCUUUUGACAGUGGCCGGGAUGGGUUUGUGAUAGGUGAAGGUUCUGGUGUCUUGAUAUUAGAGGAACUUGAGCAUGCAAAAAGACGAUGAGCAAAAAUUUAUGUGGAGGUCCGAGGAUAUGGGAUGUCAGGUUGUUUUCAAAGAACUGAAAGUAUUCUACAAUAAUGCCGGCUGUAAUAUUCAAUAAUCUUAGUUGAUUACUGCCAACUU